rnacentral:rRNA from 1 species
CGGUUGAUCCUGCCGGACCUGACUGCUAUCGGAUUGAUACUAAGCCAUGCGAGUCUUUGCAGUAAUGCAAGGCAUACGGCUCAGUAACACGUAGUCAACUUACCCUAUGGACGAGGAUAAUCUCGGGAAACUGAGCAUAAUACUCGAUAGAUCAUAAUGCCUGGAAUGGUUUAUGGUUAAAAUGAUUCGUCGCCAUAGGAUGGGACUGCGGCCUAUCAGCUUGUUGGUGAGGUAAUGGCCCACCAAGGCGAUUACAGGUACGGGCUCUGAGAGGAGAAGCCCGGAGAUGGGUACUGAGACAAGGACCCAGGCCCUAUGGGGCGCAGCAGGCGAGAAAACUUUGCAAUGUGCGAAAGCACGACAAGGUUAAUCCGAGUGAUUUCUGCUAAAGAAAUCUUUUGCAAGUCAUAAAACCACUAGUGAAUAAGGGGUGGGCAAGUUCUGGUGUCAGCCGCCGCGGUAAAACCAGCACCUCAAGUGGUCAGGAGGAUUAUUGGGCCUAAAGCAUCCGUAGCCGGCUCUGUAAGUUUUCGGUUAAAUCCAUGUGCUCAACACAUGGGCUGCCGAAAAUACUGCAUAGCUAGGGAGUGGGAGAGGUAGACGGUACUCGGUAGGAAGGGGUAAAAUCCUUUGAUCUAUCGAUGACCACCUGUGGCGAAGGCGGUCUACCAGAACACGUUCGACGGUGAGGGAUGAAAGCUGGGGGAGCAAACCGGAUUAGAUACCCGGGUAGUCCCAGCUGUAAACGAUGCAGACUCGAUGAUGCAUUGGCAUAUAGCCAGUGCAGUGUCGCAGGGAAGCCGUUAAGUCUGCCGCCUGGGAAGUACGUACGCAAGUAUGAAACUUAAAGGAAUUGGCGGGGGAGCACCACAAGGGGUGAAGCCUGCGGUUCAAUUGGAUUCAACGCCGGG